UAGGGAAUCUUCGGCAAUGGGGGCAACCCUGACCGAGCAACGCCGCGUGAGUGAAGAAGGUUUUCGGAUCGUAAAGCUCUGUUGUAAGAGAAGAACGAGUGUGAGAGUGGAAAGUUCACACUGUGACGGUAACUUACCAGAAAGGGACGGCUAACUACGUGCCAGCAGCCGCGGUAAUACGUAGGUCCCGAGCGUUAUCCGGAUUUAUUGGGCGUAAAGCGAGCGCAGGCGGUUAGAUAAGUCUGAAGUUAAAGGCUGUGGCUUAACCAUAGUAUGCUUUGGAAACUGUUUAACUUGAGUGCAGAAGGGGAGAGUGGAAUUCCAUGUGUAGCGGUGAAAUGCGUAGAUAUAUGGAGGAACACCGGUGGCGAAAGCGGCUCUCUGGUCUGUAACUGACGCUGAGGCUCGAAAGCGUGGGGAGCAAACAGGAUUAGAUACCCUGGUAGUCCACGCCGUAAACGAUGAGUGCUAGGUGUUGGGUCCUUUCCGGGACUCAGUGCCGCAGCUAACGCAUUAAGCACUCCGCCUGGGGAGUACGACCGCAAGGUUG
rnacentral:rRNA from 1 species